rnacentral:rRNA from 1 species
UCGAGACUUUCAGAGUGGAUGGUGCCUUCGGGACUCUGACACAGGUGCUGCAUGGCUGUCGUCAGCUCGUGUCGUGAGAUGUUGGGUUAAGUCCCGUAACGAGCGCAACCCUUGUCCUUAGUUACCAGCACGUUAAGGUGGGCACUCUAAGGAGACUGCCGGUGACAAACCGGAGGAAGGUGGGGAUGACGUCAAGUCAUCAUGCCCCUUACGGCCUGGGCUACACACGUGCUACAAUGGUCGGUACAAAGGGUUGCCAAGCCGCGAGGUGGAGCUAAUCCCAUAAAACCGAUCGUAGUCCGGAUCGCAGUCUGCAACUCGACUGCGUGAAGUCGGAAUCGCUAGUAAUCGUGAAUCAGAAUGUCGCGGUGAAUACGUUCCCGGGCCUUGUAACCCCCCG